rnacentral:rRNA from 1 species
UACAGAGGGUGCAAGCGUUAAUCGGAAUUACUGGGCGUAAAGCGUGUGUAGGUGGUUUGCUAAGUCAGGUGUGAAAUCCCCAGGCUCAACCUGGGAACUGCAUUUGAUACUGGCAGGCUAGAGUGUGGUAGAGGAUAGUGGAAUUCCCGGUGUAGCGGUGAAAUGCGUAGAUAUCGGGAGGAACAUCAGUGGCGAAGGCGGCUAUCUGGACUAACACUGACACUGAGACACGAAAGCGUGGGGAGCAAACAGG